GUAGGGAAUCUUCCGCAAUGGACGAAAGUCUGACGGAGCAACGCCGCGUGAGUGAAGAAGGGUUUCGGCUCGUAAAACUCUGUUGUUAAGGAAGAAUGGCACAUGGCGUAACUACCAUGUGUGUGACGGUACUUAACCAGAAAGCCACGGCUAACUACGUGCCAGCAGCCGCGGUAAUACGUAGGUGGCAAGCGUUAUCCGGAAUUAUUGGGCGUAAAGCGCGCGUAGGCGGUUUCUUAAGUCUGAUGUGAAAGCCCCCGGCUCAACCGGGGAGGGUCAUUGGAAACUGGGGAACUUGAGUGCAGAAGAGGAGAGUGGAAUUCCAUGUGUAGCGGUGAAAUGCGCAGAGAUAUGGAGGAACACCAGUGGCGAAGGCGGCUCUCUGGUCUGUAACUGACGCUGAUGUGCGAAAGCGUGGGGAUCAAACAGGAUUAGAAACCCUAGUAGUCC
rnacentral:rRNA from 2 species